ensembl:lncRNA
GUGUCCCUCUUGUAAAGACCUUUGUGAUGACACUGGAGUCACCCGGAUAACCCAGCAUAAUCUCCUCAUCUAAAUAUCCUUAACAAGAUCACAUCCACGAAGCCCCUUCUGCCACACAAGCUGACAUUAAAAGGUCCCAGGAAUCACAACAUGGACAUUUGGGGGAAGAGGGGAAUUAUUCAGGCUACCACAAGGUAUCAGAGGAAAUAUGCUAUUUCAUUGAGUAAAAGGAGAAUAAAUCUCCUUUGAGGUGUAUUGGUCUUCACAAUGGUUGGCAGCUUAAAUUCAUUCUAUUUGUGUAGUCCAAAAUAUUUCAGAGAGUUUAGCUGAAAGUGAUCACAGGUAGGUAAUGGCUCCAAUUGACUGACAGGAGUAAAUGCAAAUUCUCUCUGGAGCACUGAAUCUCAGCCCCAUGCCUCAAAGCAUUAUUCCAGAAACAUCCGAGAAAAAUAAGCAGCUCACAGACAAAAGUCACAACAUAAAUAAGGAAAUGAAGCACCAGAACAGUCUACUGAAACAAUCAGCAAAAAUCAGACCAGCAAAAAUCUCAGAACAUAAAACCAUAUUUAGGGCCUGGCCCAGUGGCGUAGUGGUUAAGUUCGCCCACUCUGCUUUGGCGGCCCAGGGUUCACAGCUUUAGAUCCUGGGCGCGGACCUACAUACUGUUCAUCAAGCUGUGUUGUGGUGGCAUCCCACAUACAAAAUAGAGGAAGAUUUGCACAGAUGUUAGCUCAGGGCCAAUCUUCCUCACUAAAAAAAAUAAAAUUAAAGUUUUUAAAAAUAAAUAAAACCAUAUUUAAUAUGUUAAAAAAAAAUACAAAAGAUCCUGUUGACAUGCAAAAGGAAUAAGAGACCAUAAAGAAUACCCAAGCAGAUUUUUAGAGAAACAAAAAAGAACCCUAGAAAUAAAAGAUAUUAAAAUUUAAAGCUCAAUGAAUGGAUUAAACAAAUUAGACACAUUAAGAAGACCACAGUGAACUAGAAAAGAAAUCUGAAGCUAUAACACAGAAAUUAGCUCAAAGACAGGAUAGAGAAAACGCAAAAGAUAUUAAGAGACAGGAUGAAUAAACUAGAACAUUCUAAACUUCAUUUAACUGGAGUUUCAAAAAAAGUAAAUAGAUAUUGAAAAAAAGUCAAUAUAUAAAGAUGUUGGCUGAUAAUUUUAUAGGACUCUUUAUAAAUACAAAUCCUCAUGUUAAGAAUAAAUGCCAAAAACAGUAAAUUAAAAUGGAAUCUAUACCUGGAUACACAAUAGUGAAACUGAAGAGCAAUAAAGAAAAAAGAAAAGAUCUUAAAAGUGGUCAGAUAGGGAAAAAAAGGCCAUCUUCUAAAUAAUACCAUAGACUGAUGGCUGACUUAUCUAAAAUAAUAAAAGACAUAAAGCAGGAAAAUUUUAUCUUAAUGUGCUAAUAUAAAAAGUGUCAACCUAGAAUUCCAUAACCAAUGAAAUUAAUCCUUGAGCAUGAAAACAAAGACAUUUUCAGAUAAAUAAAAACUGAGAGUUUAUCACCAACAGAUUCUAACUGAAAGAAUUUCUUCAUGAAGAAGGAAAAUGAUCCCAGAGGGAACAUUUCAAGUGUAGAGAGGAAUGAUAAGCAAAAAAAAAUUGGUAAAUAUACAGUAAGCUAAACUACUAUUGGCCGUAUAAAGCAAUAAUAAUAAUAUCCAAUUCUAGGGGAGUGGGUCAGGAUAGAACUAAAAUAUUGGGGGAAAUAGUGCAGUGUAGGGAAGGGGAGACAGAGCCUUUUAGGGCCCUUGAUUUAGGAGGAAGGUAAACAUUGAUUAAAUUAGGUUUUGUUAAAGAUGCACGUUAAAAUAAUUAUGGAAAACAAACUUAAAAUAGACAUAAAAUAUAUAAGUUCCUAACAAGCAGCAGCAAAAAUGUGGAAUGAGAUUAAGGGGGAAAAAAUCAACUGGGCAAAAAUAAAGGAAGAAAAAAGAAGAUUGAGAUCAACAGAAACCACACAACAAAACGGCGGAAAGAAAUCAAGUCAUUAAUCAGAACAAACAUAAAUGGACUGACAUUUGGACGCCAGCUCUCUAGUUAAAUGUCAAAAGUUGUCAUAUUGCAUUAAUACAUGAAAUCCAGCUAGGGAUGACAUUAUGCUCUGCUCUUCCUGUGGUCGUUAGCCAAAAAUGAAUUGAAACCCGAGAA